AAAGAUUUCCCCUGAGGCUCAUGGGAGCUGCCUGUAUCCUGAGGCUGGAGGAGGGGGUCUGCAGAUACAUUCUGGCAGUUUCUGUUCUGAAUUUUGAUGAUUGUCUAUUGAAAAAUUGCAUGGGCCAUCCUGUGUCAAGACAAUCAUUGCUGUCUCCUCCUUUUAGAAGGAACAAACACUGUAUCAACACUGUGCAGAUGUGUUUUAACCCAGCAGAAUAUUUCAGUGAGUUUUAUGGCCUCAUUUUCCACUAAAGUUGUGCCCGGACAGUGCAAAGCAGAACUGUGGGAGAAGGACUUGAGACCAGCUCUGAGCAAGCAGGAGUAUCUCCACUGCUCAGCACUGCAACAUGUUGUCAAAAUUAUUGACAGCAUUUUGGGGAUGCCAGAAUAUUGGCACAGUGUGGAUGGGGCUAUUUCAGGGAUCUUUCCACCAAGUGGCAGAGAUGUAACCGAGCUACAUUAGUAGCAGCCCAAACAAGCAGUAACAAAAGUUUAAUGGCACAGGGAAACUAGUAAAAAUACCAAAGUUGAUGGUUUUCUUCCAACAAUCAGAAGCAUUCAAAAUUAGAAAUAUUGAAUAAAUAGAAAGAAUGACUUAGUGUCA
rnacentral:lncRNA from 1 species